rnacentral:lncRNA from 1 species
GAGGGGAGUCAGCUCACCCUAUAAGAGAGAGGGGAGUCAGCUCACCCUAUAAGAGAGAGGGGACUCAGCUCACCCAUUCUCUUAUAGGCUCCACAUCAGCCACAGGCCGGCCCCUCAACCUUUCCAGGGCCGGGGUGAGAAUCUCUUCAGCUCCUCUCAGCUGCCAGGCAUGCUCAGCCACGCCUUACUGAUUUACACUGGAAGCCAUGGCAGGAGCCAGGGCCACCGUGGACCCUCUGAAAAACAAACCACUGACAGGCACCAACCACAGGAGUGUGGGGACUCUCUCUCCCCUGAUCUGCACCAGGAGCAGGGUCACAGCCUCUACAGUAUGUACUGUAAACUUACAAUGGGGGAUUUCUGCUCUAUUUCCUAUUCUAUUUCCUACUGAUCAAAAAUCACUUUUCAAUUUUUUGACAAGGGCUAUUGAAGUGUCUGAUAAGAAAUAUAUGAAUGUAGUCAAGCUGAAUAUUAACAGACUACCUUUAGAUUUAUGUCCUAACCAGUUUUGCUUAAAUAAAUGUUUGUCUCAGCAAACACACUCUGACAUCUACCAGUACCUCAAGGAAUGAUUUGAAAGUAAAUACUGAGUGUACACUGAGGCGUGUUUGAUUCAUUAGCUGUGAUUGUCCUGUUCUUGCUGUACAUUUCUUUCUCGUCUGACCUCUUUCAUUAGGGGUCACAGCAUCUCUCGUCUUUUCUCUCUCUACCCCCCCACUUUCUCUCUCUCCCCACCUCUCUCUCUCCCUCUGCUCUUCCUCUUUAGGGCUGUCUUGAGUAAGAAGUGGUGUCAUCCUCCACUCCCAUCCGUCGGUUGGGAUUUGCCUCAGAGCUUCCCGAGACGGCCUGAUUUGUGUGACAAACACAAAUGCCUUUAAAUUCCCUCCGAGCCCCAGCUCCUUACCCGGCUCAUACCUUGUAAUGAAUAAUUCACAUCCCUCUCUUCUUUCCUUCCUUCUCCCCAGUUCUCUCCCAACGGGAGGAAGGACAGUAGCACACCCCUCUCCUCGGCUGGCAGAAAAUCCAUACACCACUGACAUCUUCACUUCAAACGGCAAUUAAUAGAACCAGAAGCCGGAUCUAUUUUCUCUCAUAAUUGGUCUUAAGAUUUUCCCAAAUGUUCCGACAGUCUGCAGCUAUCUAUCUUUCCAUGAUCCUCUACAGCAGAAACAGCUGGGACACCUGCAGCUGGAGUGUUUAGCAGUGUUCUCUGAGCUAUGCUGGAGCAUCCAGUCCAAUGUUCCAGCGGUGGUUGAGAAGCAGGGGACUCUGUCAGUCUCUCCCCCCAGGAGGGGACAUCUCUCCUUGAGGGAGCUCAGUGGGAUUUCCCCCUGAGAACCAGGCUUCCUCCCCAAUCACUGUCACAGCCACAGCCAUAUUACACACCUCCGUGGGAUCCUACACAAACACACAGUAUGGUAUCAUGCCUUCGGGCUGAUGAGGGAGAUGGACAUGAAAAGAGCCCUCUAUCGUUGGAAUGAGGUCUUCAUGUUAGAGAUUUGCUCAGAGGUUGGGGUGACAUCACAAUGAUUUGGUGUCAUACUGUAUAUCCAGAAUUGCUAUUGCACCAGUGUUUUGGGCCUUUUCAUAUCACCCCCAGGCUAAUAUCCCAAACUGCUUCAUUCAGGGACAACACAGACAUCCACUUUAAGGUGUGACACAUUCAGCCUUUAUGUCAAGAACCAGAAAAGGAGAUACAAUUGUGUUUUUGUGAGUUAUCUUCUUCUCUCUCUCUCUCGCUCUCUCUUUCUUUCUUUCUUUCUUUCUUUCUUUCUUUCUUUCUUUCUUUCUUUCUUUCUUUCUUUCUUUCCCCCUCUCCUUCUUAGCAUGUUCUUGCAGCUUCUCCUGCUGUCUGUCUCCCCUCGUCACAUUUCAGAAUAUGUUACCCCUGUGAUACCAGGGCCAGACUUGAAAGGAAGUCUUAAGGACCUGAGCUUAUACACUGUGCCAGAUUUUGUUAAAUAACCGGGAGAUGUUGAUGCCAAUUCAUUGGUAAUUGUCCCUUGUGGCACAGUGCUGUUGAAAGUCCUGGAGCAGCCUAAGCUCAAGAUCACUGCAAGUGUUAAUCUUCUUAUACUUAAGGUUUCAGGUUUUCUUUUGAUGUCGCUAAACAUGUUGACUCCUAUCUCGGCACAGAAGGCAAUCCAGACGUAGCCAUGAGCAAUAAAGCUUUUGUCUGUUUUUUUUUUUUUUUAGUCUUCGAAGAAUUCCAAUUUUAUUCCUCUUCCCACAAAUUCAUUGUGACUAAAAUAAAACAACAACUAAAAAACAGAUCAGGAAGAGAGGAAGGGGAUUGAUUCAGCUUUAUUCAGGGACUCAUUGUUCCUUUCCUUAGUGCAUUUGACUUGCCCUUGUUGUGUGUAAAAUGGUCUUAUUCAUAGUUAAUGAGUAGACAUCUUAUUUCCAAGCCUGGGUGCUAUAGUACAAUACAGACGGUUGUCUUUGAGAGCUGUUCUGUCAUGGUCUAUUUCAGAUAAACAGAGAAGACACCUCUAUUGGAGGAUAAAUAACUGAGUGUGUAAUUAAUUUGCCGGCCCCAAGGGCGUACUGUAUACCUUAGAGAUUGAUCUGAUCCUGUCAGUGAUAGUGAUAGGUUGUUUCCACACAGAUCCAGGGAAUCAGGGAAUCUACCCUCGGGGACUCAGGUGGAGAGACCUACCCAGGCAGGGAGCACCCUUCUGGGCACGGAGUUGUAACGUAGCCGCCCUCAGGUGAGGCUCGCUCAGUGAUCAAUCAGGGCUGCUGUCUGUCAGGACAGAUAGUCCCAUCCGUCAGUCAGUCUACACCCAGGUGUGUGUGUGUGUGUGUGUGUGUGUGUGUGAGUAUGUGUGUGUGUGUGUGUGUGUGUGUGUGUGCGCGAGUGUGUGCGCGAGUGUGUACGUGUGCGCGUACGUAUGUGUGUGUUUGUGUGUGUGUGCAUGGGUGUGUACAGUUCUGUCCGUCAGUCCAUCCCUAGGUGCUGUAUGACAGGUGUAGACCUCUGUGGGAUCAGGACUAGCAUCUAAUCCCACACAAACGUACAGGUGGGACAAGACCUCCUGUUAUAUGAAGACCUUAUUGCUGGGUUUCAUUUAAAAAAAAUGAUGAAUGGGUUUGUUUUUAUGACUGUGUUUUUCUUUCUGCUUGAAUUUUGUAUUUAUAUUGAUGUGUGUAUUUUCUGUAAUUUCUGUAGUUCAGAGCUCAUCUGUAAAAUACCCCUUGGUCUCAGUAUGACUCCCUGAUAAAAUAAAGGUUAAAUAAACUAAAAUAAAUGUAA